rnacentral:rRNA from 1 species
AAUCAACGCUGGCGGCGUGCCUAACACAUGCAAGUCGAACGCGAAAAUCCCGCAAGGGAUUAGUAGAGUGGCAAACGGGUGAGUAACGCGUGGGUGACCUGCCUUCGAGCGGGGGAUAACGUUCCGAAAGGGACGCUAAUACCGCAUAACCAUCCUGCCUUUGAAGAGGUGGAGAUCAAAGCUGGGGAUCGCAAGACCUAGCACUUGAAGAGGGGCCCGCGUCUGAUUAGCAGUUGGUGAGGUAACGGCUCACCAAGGCUUCGAUCAGUAUCCGGCCUGAGAGGGCGGACGGACACACUGGGACUGAGACACGGGCCAGACUCCUACGUGAGGCAGCAGUAAGGAUAUUGCGCAAUGGGCGAAAAGCCUGACGCAGCGACGCCGCGUGGGGGAUGAAGGUCUUCGGAUUGUAAACCCC